rnacentral:rRNA from 1 species
UACCAGCACCCCGAGUGGUCGGGACGAUUAUUGGGCCUAAAGCACCCGUAGCCGGUUUUACAAGUCCUCCGUUAAAUCCAACUGCUUAACAGAUGGGCCGCGGAGGAUACUAUAAGACUAGGGGGCAGGAGAGGCAAGCGGUACUCAGUGGGUAGGGGUAAAAUCCGUUGAUCCAUUGAAGACCACCAGUGGCGAAGGCGGCUUGCCAGAAUGCGCUCGACGGUGAGGGAUGAAAGCUGGGGGAGCAAACCGG